rnacentral:lncRNA from 1 species
CGCUAGCCCUCUGUAAUCCCGUACCUGUAAUCCCGGCUGCGUCCCUGGAGGAGCGGCGGGCAGAAGCUUGGGGAGGAGGCUGAGGUGGGGAGCAGAGGGCGCCCUCAGGGUGCCCAGGCUUGGCUGCAGCGGUGAGCGGUGAGCGGUGAGCGGCGCAGCUGCUCUGUCAGGUGCCAGAGAGGCAGGUGCAGGAGCCGAACCUGCCCCGCAGCGCGUCAAGGGUCUCACUAUGUAGCCCAAGCUGACCUCGAACUCGCGGCGAUCCUCCUGCCUCAGCCUCCCGAGUACUGGGGCUACAGCCAUGCACCACCGCAUCCCGCUCCUCCCUCCAUUUUAAAUUCUAACCGGCCCCCUUUCAAACUCAUCCCACCAUCCACAACCCUGCUUCCUAUGGCCUGGGUCCCUACUCCCCUCUACUCCGAAUAGCUCCCUGACCCCAAUAACCUGGGCAAAGGAAAGAGACUCCCAGAACUGCUUCAGAAAGUGGCAAGGAGGGGCAGGUUUUGAGGGGGACUCAUAGCAAUGCCUUUUACUGUAAUAAAAAUGUUUCAUUUUAAACAUUCUCUGUGUAUUUCCACACUGUGACAUGCAUACGCGCACACACACACACACACACACACGUGUAGUGUAUAAUUAUCUAUUCAUCUAGUUUAUUUGGCUCCUUAAACCAGGAAUUCUGAAUCUCGGCUACAGACCUAACACUACACUCAGCAAGAGCUUCAGGCCGACUUGAAAAUGUGAAUGAGAAACAGAAACUUCAUGCAGCCCUUUGCUUUACCCUGCUGUCCCAGGGCAGAAGCCAGGCAUUGUGGCGCACAUCUGUCAUCUCAGGACCAGGGAGGCUGAGGCAGGAGAAUCGACCCAAGUUCGACGCCAGCCUGGGCUACAUAGUGAGUUCAAGGCCAACCUGAACUGCACAGGGAGACUCUGUCUCCAAAAAACUCCCCCCAAGUCUGAAACAAAAC